rnacentral:lncRNA from 1 species
AAAUAACAAGCACUCAAAUUCUGUAUUGCAUUCCAUCAGCUAUACUUGCAAAUAAAACUUAAACAAAAUACUGCAAAAUUGUUAUCACAUGAUCACAUUACAAACCUUGAUUGAUCGAGUGACACUUUUCAAACACAUACAAGCUGCAGCACGUACACCGGCAUUAUAAUCAGUUAGUGCAUCAGCUAACAAAUUCAACACCUAUAUCAUGAGAAAAUAUUAGAAACUUCAAUGUAGUUGAAGAUUCACACAAAUAAGAAUCUCCAAUGAGAUUUGAUUGAGAAAGUCCCUUAAAAGAAACUACAAAGAAAUGCCUGAGAGAAUGCCUUCAAAGAAAAUUACCAUAAAUUUGCUUCAAGGGAACACAUCAUACUGAAGUUUUGAAAAUCUAAUUUAUAACUUUACAUUGAACAAUAUAGAAUAACCAUAAAAUAGAUAAAAAAAACUUAAAAUUUGUCUGAUUGUGAUGUGAGAUCUACUUCAAGGUAACCAUAGACACCUUGGGUAGAAAUCAAAGAUAUAAAGAUAAAAUAAUUUUUGUCAAAUUGCAGUAACUGCUAUUUUGGAACUUUGAUGUUUCUUUUGUUGUCCUGGCAAAGUAGUGCCAAGCGAUCCAACCACCAAGAUUAGAAAGUUCACUUAAGCAACAUAAGAAUAAAGAACCUUUUAGCCCUUCAAGAAGCAAAAGUAGACAUCUUUGAUGCAUUUUAAUUGAGUUCCGGCAUUAUGCAAGUGGAGAAAAUCUAUUUUGAUGUUGAAAGGCCAUUACGAACACCAUCACCUAACAGUGAGAAAGUGCUGGUGACUAAAAAGAUAGCCAAGGUGAUCCCCUAUGUCAACUUUCCACUGGACAAUACUUUUAGGUAUUGUAGGAGCCCAAAUUCCCGGGCCCAUUAAACCUUAAAUCCCAACCCCAAAUACACAUUUAAAUUCACCCACACUUAAGUCCAAAUUUUAAUCCAACAACCCAAUUACAAACAGACCCUGACCCAAACCCACAUAGCCCAAAUUCUUAACCCAACCAGCUAGAUUAGGGUUUCAAAAAGCUAAAACCUUAAUCAACCCCUAGCGCCGCUGACGUCCCAUCGCCUCAUACCAGCCACUUGCUCCACCUGCUCCACCGCCCAUGUCAGCACCACCCACUCGCCUGCAAAGAUCAAAAGGAGAGGGGACAGAUAAUACUAAAAAAUGCAUGUAACUUGGCUUUAAAAAGCCAAGCCGAAAUCAGAAAGAGGAUUCGACAGAUUUGUUUUCUUUUACAAAUAUAAAAUAUUCAGCAAUAUCUUGAGAAAUACAAAAAAGGAUAUUCAAGUUUUAUUCUAGCAACAUCAAAGCAAAGGAAUAGUGCAAAAAUCAAACUCAAAUAUCACGAAUCGAAGAACCGAAAUACCCAAACCUAAGGUGAUUUUAAUUUCAUUUUAGUUUCGUUUUUGGGUCCAUUUUCUCACAUAUAUAUAUAUUAAAAACAUAUAAAAAUUAUAAAAAAAAUAAGAAAAAAAAAACUUACCCUCACGCGGUGGCCGACGACGGCGGUGCACGGCGGUGCACGGCGGUCCGGCGAUCGGACGGUGACCAGCCCUGUGGCCGGAAAUUGCUCAGCUCUCCCUCUCUCUCCUUUUUUUUUCUG